rnacentral:rRNA from 1 species
GUGAAGGCUACCUCAAUCGGAG